CUAGAAAAAAUCUAAGGUGCAACCUGCCCAAUGGAUUCCAUAAAAUACUAUUAAAUAGUUAAAAGAAUCUUAAAGGACGCAGUAAUCUAACUGUGAUAAUGUAGCAUAAUCACUCGCCAUUUAAUUGAUGGAUAGUAUGAAUGGUUAAACGAAUCUUUCACUGUCUAAGAUAAAGAAGUCAUGAAAUUAAAAUAAUAGUUAAGAUGCUAUUUAAAAUUGUAAGACGAAAAGACCCUGUAGAGCUUAACUAUACCUUUUCUUAUAAAAAAAAACAGAAACAAUCUUAAAACUAGAAAAGGAGUUAGUUUAGUUGGGGCGACUGCCUUCUAAAAACAACGAAGGUAAGCUACGUUAAUAGAAAACUUAUUGUAUAAUUUAUAAAUUUAACAAUUACCACAGUAGGCUAUAAUGACCCGUUAAAAUUCAGUAAAUAUUUUAACGAUCAAUAAAUAAAAGCUACCUCAGGGAUAACAGAAUAAUCUUGUCCCAGAGAUCUCAUCGAAGACAAGGUUUAUCACCUCUAUGUUGAAUUAAGAUACCCCAGCAGCGCAGAAGCCGCUAAAGGUAGGUCUGUUCGACCUUUAAAAU
rnacentral:rRNA from 1 species